AAGGAGGAUGCAAGCGUUAUCCGGAUACAUUGGGUUUAAAGGGUGCGAAGGAGAAUUAAUAAGUCAGUGGUGAAAUCCUACGGCUCAACUGUAGAACUGCCAUUGAUACUGUUAGUGUUGAGUAUUGUUGAGGUAGGCGGAAUGUGUCAUGUGGCGGUGAAAUGCUUAGAUAUGACACAGAACACCAAUCGCGAAGGCAGCUUACCAAGCAAUAACUGACGCUCAUGCACGAAAGCGUUGGGAUCAAACAG
rnacentral:rRNA from 1 species